rnacentral:rRNA from 1 species
AUUGAACGCUGGCGGCAGGCUUAACACAUGCAAGUCGAACGAGUGGCGGACGGGUGAGUAAUGCUUGGGAAACUGCCCUAUGGAGGGGGAUAACUACGGGAAACUGUAGCUAAUACCGCGUACCAUAGGAUGAGCCCGACUGGGAUUAGGUAGUUGGUGGGGUAAAGGCUCACCAAGCCGACGAUCUCUAGCUGGUCUGAGAGGAUGACCAGCCACACUGGAACUGAGACACGGCCCAGACUCCUACGGGAGGCAGCAGUGGGGAAUAUUGCGCAAUGGGGGCAACCCUGACGCAGCCAUGCCGCGUGUAUGAAGAAGGCCUUCGGGUUGUAAAGUUCUUUCAGUGGGGAGGCGUUAACUGCAGAAGAAGCACCGGCUAACUCCGUGCCAGCAGCCGCGGUAAUAC